CCCUCCACACACACAGACUGAACCCCCACCUCCACGCACAGACUGACUGCCACACACACAGGCUGACCCCCCACACCCAUACACACACACACUGAUCCACACACAGACUGACCCACACACACAAACAGACCCCCACAGAUGCAGACUGAAACCUCCCCACCUUCACACAUGGACUGAUCCCCACACAGACUGGCCCAUAUACACAAAGUGACCCCCACACAGACUGAACCCCCACCCCUACACACAGACUGAUCCAUACUCAUACACAGACUAAGCCCCACACACAGACUGCCCCCCGCCCCAGACUGAACCACACACAAUGACUCACACUUACCAGAAGCUGCAUCUGUGCAGAGCUGAGCUUCCUCUCCCUGUUUCUCCCCUGCGCUGCUCUCUAUGACCCAGGAGGAAGUCCUCCCAGCACAGUGCCCCCUCUGGCUGCAUUUGGGAAAAGGGUGGAACAUAGUUCCACAGUGAUAGCACUGCUGCAGCUUGUGAAUGGAAACUCAGUGCCGCAGACUUUAAAUUUUAAUGGGGGGGGGGAGGGGCUCUGCCUCCUCCCCAGCCCCCUCCCCAG